ACGCUCGACACCUACGGGAGGCAGCAGUGGGGAAUAUUGCANAAUGGGGGAAACCCUGAUGCAGCGACGCCGCGUGGAGGAAGAAGGUCUUCGGAUUGUAAACUCCUGUUGUUGGGGAAAAAGAGGAUGGUACCCAACAAGGAAGUGACGGCUAACUACGUGCCAACAGCCGCGGUAAUCUGAGCGGGCUGGCAAGGC
rnacentral:rRNA from 1 species